GUAGGUGGCAAGCGUUGUCCGGAAUUAUUGGGCGUAAAGCGCGCGCAGGGUGGUUCUUUAAGUCUGAUGUGAAAGCCCCCGGGCUCAACCGGGGAGGGUUAUUGGAAACUGGGGAACUUGAGUGCAGGAGAGGAAAGUGGAAUUCCACGUGUAGCGGUGAAAUGCGUAGAUAUGUGGAGGAACACCAGUGGCGAAGGCGACUUUCUGGCCUGUAACUGACACUGAGGCGUGAAAGCGUGGGGAGCAAACAGGAUUAGAUACCCUGGUAGUCCACGCCGUAAACGAUGAGUGCUAAGUGUUGGGGGGUUUCCGCCCCUCAGUGCUGCAGCUAACGCAUUAAGCACUCCGCCUGGGGAGUACGGUCGCAAGACUG
rnacentral:rRNA from 1 species